AAAUCCUAAGCUUUUAGCAUUUGUUUUGAAAACAAAAGAUAGAUUUUUCUAGGAUUUU
rnacentral:tRNA from 1 species